UACGUAGGGGGCUAGCGUUGUCCGGAUUUAUUGGGCGUAAAGAGCGUGUAGGCGGCCAAGUAGGUCCGGUGUGAAAACUCGAGGCUUAACCUCGAGAUGUCAUCGGAAACCAUUUGGCUAGAGUCCGGAAGAGGAAAGCGGAAUUCCAGGUGUAGCGGUGAAAUGCGUAGAUAUCUGGAGGAACACCGGUGGCGAAGGCGGCAUCCUGGACCGGUAUUGACGCUGAGGCGCGAAAGCCAGGGGAGCAAACGGG
rnacentral:rRNA from 1 species